UCCAGACUCCUACGGGAGGCAGCAGUGGGGAAUAUUGCACAAUGGGGGAAACCCUGAUGCAGCGACGCCGCGUGAGCGAUGGAGUAUUUCGGUAUGUAAAGCUCUAUCAGCAGGGAAGAAGAUGACGGUACCUGACUAAGAAGCCCCGGCUAACUACGUGCCAGCAGCCGCGGUAAUACGUAGGGGGCAAGCGUUAUCCGGAUUUACUGGGUGUAAAGGGAGCGUAGACGGCAGUGCAAGUCCGGAGUGAAAGCCCGGGGCCCAACCCCGGGACUGCUCUUGGAACUGCGUGGCUGGAGUGCAGGAGGGGCAGGCGGAAUUCCUGGUGUAGCGGUGAAAUGCGUAGAUAUCAGGAGGAACACCGGUGGCGAAGGCGGCCUGCUGGACUGCAACUGACGUUGAGGCUCGAAAGCGUGGGGAGCAAACAGGAUUAGAUACCCCCGUAC
rnacentral:rRNA from 1 species